rnacentral:rRNA from 1 species
GGNACCUGNNGCAGCCAUGCCGCGUGUGUGAAGAAGGCCUUCGGGUUGUAAAGCACUUUCAGCGAGGAGGAAAGGUCAGUAGCUAAUACCUGCUGGCUGUGACGUUACUCGCAGAAGAAGCACCGGCUAACUCCGUGCCAGCAGCCGCGGUAAUACGGAGGGUGCAAGCGUUAAUCGGAAUUACUGGGCGUAAAGCGCACGCAGGCGGUUGGAUAAGUUAGAUGUGAAAGCCCCGGGCUCAACCUGGGAAUUGCAUUUAAAACUGUCCAGCUAGAGUCUUGUAGAGGGGGGUAGAAUUCCAGGUGUAGCGGUGAAAUGCGUAGAGAUCUGGAGGAAUACCGGUGGCGAAGGCGGCCCCCUGGACAAAGACUGACGCUCAGGUGCGAAAGCGUGGGGAGCAAACAGGAUUAGAAACCCUUGUAGUCCAGACCAAGUCUCNGNNUUACCGUAA